GGCAACCCUGACGGAGCAACGCCGCGUGGGGGAGGAAUGUCUGUGGAUUGUAAACCCCUUUUCUCAGGGAAGAAGUUCUGACGGUACCUGAGGAAUCAGCAUCGGCUAACUCCGUGCCAGCAGCCGCGGUAAGACGGAGGAUGCAAGCGUUAUCCGGAAUUAUUGGGCGUAAAGCGUCCGUAGGUGGUUAUUCAAGUCUGCUGUCAAAGCGUGGGGCUUAACUCCAUAGAGGCAGUGGAAACUGGAUGACUUGAGUGCGGUAGGGGUCGAGGGAAUUCCCAGUGUAGCGGUGAAAUGCGUAGAUAUUGGGAAGAACACCAGUGGCGAAAGCGCUCGACUGGGCCUGCACUGACACUGAGGGACGAAAGCUAGGGGAGCG
rnacentral:rRNA from 1 species